rnacentral:rRNA from 1 species
UACGUAGGGGGCAAGCGUUGUCCGGAUUCAUUGGGCGUAAAGAGCGUGUAGGCGGCCAGGUAGGUCGGUUGUGAAAACUGGAGGCUCAACCUUCAGAGGUCGACCGAAACCAUCUGGCUAGAGUCCGGGAGAGGAGAGUGGAAUUCCUGGUGUAGCGGUGAAAUGCGCAGAUAUCAGGAAGAACACCCGUGGCGAAGGCGGCCUGCUGGGCAGUAGCUGACACUGAGGCGCGACAGCGUGGGGAGCAAACAGG